AACGAACGCUGGCGGCAUGCCUAACACAUGCAAGUCGAACGAGACCUUCGGGUCUAGUUGCGCACGGGUGCGUAACGCGUGGGAACCUGCCCUUAGGUUCGGAAUAACUCCCCGAAAGGGGUGCUAAUACCGGAUAAUGUCUUCGGACCAAAGAUUUAUCGCCUUUGGAUGGGCCCGCGUUGGAUUAGCUAGUUGGUAGGGUAAAAGCCUACCAAGGCGACGAUCCAUAGCUGGUCUGAGAGGAUGAUCAGCCACACUGGGACUGAGACACGGCCCAGACUCCUACGGGAGGCAGCAGUGGGGAAUAUUGGACACUGGGCGAAAGCCUGAUCCAGCAAUGCCGCGUGAGUGAUGAAGGCCUUAGGGUUGUAAAGCUCUUUUACCCGGGAUGAUAAUGACAGUACCGGGAGAAUAAGCUCCGGCUAACUCCGUG
rnacentral:rRNA from 1 species